UAGGGAAUCUUCGGCAAUGGACGAAAGUCUGACCGAGCAACGCCGCGUGAGUGAAGAAGGUUUUCGGAUCGUAAAACUCUGUUGUUAGAGAAGAACAAGGGUGAGAGUAACUGUUCACCCCUUGACGGUAUCUAACCAGAAAGGGACGGCUAACUACGUGCCAG
rnacentral:rRNA from 1 species